rnacentral:lncRNA from 1 species
GGAACCAAUUUUCGUGGUUUUCGUGGAUGAGUUUAUCCACGAAUUUAAGUGUCCAAUGAAAAAAAAACCAUUGUCAAAAUCAAGACAUGGAAAUAUCCCCAUGUAGGUUUGACUUCUGAUAUGAUCUAGAGAACAUAUUGAACAUCGCCAAAUCUGAGAAUACUAUUAUAGUUGUCACAGGGCAAAUGCACUAUGAACUACAACUGCAGGUAGGAUUAGACCCA